rnacentral:rRNA from 1 species
ACGCACCUACGGGGGGCAGCAGUGGGGAAUAUUGGGCAAUGGACGCAAGUCUGACCCAGCAACGCCGCGUGAAGGAAGAAGGCUUUCGGGUUGUAAACUUCUUUUAAGGGGGAAGAGCAGAAGACGGUGCCCCUUGAAUAAGCCACGUCUAACUACGUGCCAGCAGCCGCGGUAAUACGUAGGUGGCAAGCGUUGUCCGGAUUUACUGGGUGUAAAUGGCGUGCAGCCGGAGAGACAAGUCAGAUGUGAAAUCAACGGGCUCAACCCGUGAACUGCAUUUGAAACUGUUUCCCUUGAGUGUCGGG